UACGGAGGGUGCAAGCGUUAUCCGGAUUUACUGGGCUUAAAGGGUGCGUAGGUGGAUAAUUAAGUCAGUGGUGAAAUCUUCAGGCUUAACCUGGAAACUGCCAUUGAUACUAUUUAUCUUGAAUACUUUGGAGGUAAGCGGAAUAUGUCAUGUAGCGGUGAAAUGCUUAGAUAUGACACAGAACACCGAUGGCGAAGGCAGCUCACUAAGCCAUAACUGACGCUGAUGCACGAAAGCGUGGGGAGCAAACAGG
rnacentral:rRNA from 1 species